rnacentral:rRNA from 1 species
UAGUCCACACCGUAAACGAUGACAGCUAGUUGUUGGCAGGCAUGCCUGUCGGUGACGCAGCUAACGCAUUAAGCUGUCCGCCUGGGGAGUACGGCCGCAAGGUUAAAACUCAAAGAAAUUGACGGGGGCCCGCACAAGCGGUGGAGCAUGUGGUUUAAUUCGAAACAACGCGCAGAACCUUACCCGCGUUUGACAUGCCCUGUAUGAUUUUCAGAGAUGAAUUUCUUCAUUUAGUUGGCAGGUGCACCAGGUGCUGCAUGGUUGUCGUCAGCUCGUGUCGUGAGAUGUUGGGUUAAGUCCCGCAACGAGCGCAACCCUCAUCCUUAGUUGCCAUCACGUUUGGGUGGGCACUCUAAGGAAACUGCCGGUGACAAGCCGGAGGAAGGUGGGGAUGACGUCAAGUCCUCAUGGCCCUUACACGCGGGGCUACACACGUGCUACAAUGGCAGUGACAAUGGGAUAAUCCCAAAAACUGUACUCAGUUCGGAUUGUCGUCUGCUAA